rnacentral:rRNA from 1 species
GACGAACGCUGGCGGCGUGCUUAACACAUGCAAAUCGAACGGAAAGGCCCUGCUUUUGUGGGGUGCUCGAGUGGCGAACGGGUGAGUAACACGUGAGUAACCUGCCCUUGACUUUGGGAUAACUUCAGGAAACUGGGGCUAAUACCGGAUAGGAGCUCCUGCUGCAUGGUGGGGGUUGGAAAGUUUCGGCGGUUGGGGAUGGACUCGCGGCUUAUCAGCUUGUUGGUGGGGUAGUGGCUUACCAAGGCUUUGACGGGUAGCCGGCCUGAGAGGGUGACCGGCCACAUUGGGACUGAGAUACGGCCCAGACUCCUACGGGAGGCAGCAGUGGGGAAUAUUGCACAAUGGGCGGAAGCCUGAUGCAGCAACGCCGCGUGCGGGAUGACGGCCUUCGGGUUGUAAACCGCUUUCGCCUGUGACGAAGCGUGAGUGACGGUAAUGGGUAAAGAAGCACCGGCUAACUACG